rnacentral:lncRNA from 1 species
AGGCAGCCGGAAGGAAACUCCUGAGCUUUUUACGGAAUGCAUAAGACAAAAGCCAUGUUUUGUUCAGUCCUUCAGAAGAUAGAAAUUGAACACCUGACUUGUGGACAGCACCUCUAAACACUGCAGAGAGAGAUUCAGAGAUGAAUAGCCCUGGCCCUUAGGGUUCUUGCGGUCACAAGCACCUUCCAGUAAGAGCAGCCCAUGGUUAUGAGUAACAAGAGCAGACACUACGGCAGGCACUUGCUUUAGGGACAUUGCCUUGUUUCAUCCUCACGGUGACUUCAGGAGGACAGUGCCAUCGUUACGCCGUUUAACAUGGUAAAACUGAGGCCCAGAGAGGGGAGUGCCUUGCUUCAGAUGACUCAGCAACGCAGUGGCUGAGCAAGGAUUUGAACUCAGGCAGAAUGGUGGCAGAGCCUGUUUGCCUAACUUCUAAAUUUCCCUAACUGUCUAGAACAGAGGGUAGUAGGAGUGCAGCAGACAGGACAACUAACCCUGCCUGGAAAAGUCAUGGUGGGCUUCCCAGAGGAGGCGUCCUUAGGCUGGGGCUUGAAGACGAGGUAUUUACCAGACAAAUAGUGGAGAAGAAGGCUGUCUUAAACAGAAAAAACUUCUUAUGUGGUCCUGGGUUCUGAGGGCCCAGCUCUUCUCACCCUCCUUCUCGAGGAGUGGGGGAACGGAAGUGCAGAGCCUUCGUGUUUUACCCUCCUUCUCCGAGGAGUGGGGAACGGAAGUGCAGAGCCUUUAUGUUUUGUGACAGUGGAAUCCC